AUCUCUUGGUUCCAGCAUCGAUGAAGAACGCAGCGAAAUGCGAUAAGUAAUGUGAAUUGCAGAAUUCAGUGAAUCAUCGAAUCUUUGAACGCACAUUGCGCCCCUCGGCAUUCCGGGAGGCAUGCCUGUUCGAGCGUCAUU
rnacentral:rRNA from 1 species